rnacentral:rRNA from 1 species
CCUACGGGAGGCAGCAGUGGGGAAUAUUGCACAAUGGGCGAAAGCCUGAUGCAGCGACGCCGCGUGAGGGAUGACGGCCUUCGGGUUGUAAACCUCUUUCAGCAGGGAAGAAGCGCAAGUGACGGUACCUGCAGAAGAAGCACCGGCUAACUACGUGCCAGCAGCCGCGGUAAUACGUAGGGUGCGAGCGUUGUCCGGAAUUAUUGGGCGUAAAGAGCUCGUAGGCGGUCUGUCGCGUCGGAUGUGAAAGCCCGGGACUUAACCCCGGGUCUGCAUUCGAUACGGGCAGACUAGAGUGUGGUAGGGGAGAUCGGAAUUCCUGGUGUAGCGGUGAAAUGCGCAGAUAUCAGGAGGAACACCGGUGGCGAAGGCGGAUCUCUGGGCCAUUACUGACGCUGAGGAGCGAAAGCGUGGGGAGCGAACAGGAUUAGAUACCCUGGUAGUCCACGCCGUAAACGUUGGGAACUAGGUGUUGGCGACAUUCCACGUCGUCGGUGCCGCAGCUAACGCAUUAAGUUCCCCGCCUGGGGAGUACGGCCGCAAGGCUAAAACUUAAAUGAAUUGACGG